rnacentral:lncRNA from 11 species
UAGUUCCAUCCUGUUCGUGUCCUCUAGCUGCUGUUACCCAGAGGCAUGGGGUGAACUCAACACCUCCAGAAACAACACAAAUUAUUUAUCUAAACUCUGCUUACAUGAAAUUCAAGCCUACAAAAAGAACAACUCAGGCCUGUUCCUUUAAAGCAAAAAAUUAAAGAUGGGAACAAAAUGGACAGACAUUACUACAAGGAUAAAUAAAUUGCAACUGAAG